AGUCAUGUGACUUAUCCAGAAAGAAAGAAACAGCAGGAAAGCCAGGAAAAGAUGGUGCUAAAGAAGCAUCUAUCAGGGCAAACAAUGACAAUUAACAGAAAAGUGCCACGGGAGGGGAUAAAUUAUUCAUAUAAUCAAUUUGAGGAAGAGACUGGGGAAAAUGCCUAUGCCUGGGCACUACAUGUUUAAAAGGACAUUGAUAAACUGGAAUGGCUUCAGAGGAGGGCCACAAAGAUGGUGAGGUGCCUGGAAAGCAAAUCCUGUGAGGACCUAAAUGAACUGUCUCUCUCCAGAUGCCAACUGACUCCAAUUUUUCCAGCUUUGGCUGCAACUUCAACUUUUUCCAACUCCAGCUUCAACUCUUGGACCCUCUCUGUUCCAGCUGUGCAACAUGUAACUCUUGGACUCUCCUCCUUCAACUGACCUCUGACUUCUUCAAGAUGCCUUCUCUCUAAAAUGAUAUUUCAGAUGUUGUAAUCAAUUGGUACCCAUCCAACAUCUUCAGCAAUGAUGACCAAUGGAAAUAAUUCAUGAAGCAUCUCAAAAAUUUCUCUUUUCUCCAUCCACAAUUUAUUGUCUAAAUGUCAAUCUACUUCCCUUAUGGUUUGUUCUUUCUGUUUGUGAUGUAUUUAAAGGAAUGAUUAUUUUUUUGUUUUUAUGACUUCAGUAAUUUGUUCCUCAGAUUCCUUCUUUGCGUACCUUGACAUUGACUACAUUUGUUGCCUAUGAAAAUGAGUGCAGAUGAAACUGAGACUGAGGAGAUGGGUAGAAAAACAGAGUGAAGAGAAAUAUGUCUCUUUGUGUUUCACAGAACAUCAUUAAGGCCAGUUACACACUGAGGAAUUAACAAGGCAGAAGGAACUGAUGUUUACUCUGGCAAAGUCGUAGAAAUUCAUUUCCUUAAGCUAGAAAGCAACUGGAUGAUUUGUUUGAGCCAUCUGAAACUCUCUGCUCUACUAAUGAUGUCAUGCAGUACACUACUCUCUCAUAUUUUCUUAGAAGUAAGAUCCAACUGUUCCAAUGGAUACAUUGAUUUCAUUUGAAUCAGCUUUCAACUAGAGAGACCUGAAUCCUUUCUGUUGGGCAUAAUUAAUGAAGAAAUCUCGAAAGAAAAUAGAAAUUUAUUCCAAUAUCUUCCGACGGCAGCUAGAAUGGUUCUUGCUCAGAAAUGGAGAUCUGAAGAAAUUCCAGCAAAAGAAGAAUGGUUGAUGAAGGCAUAUGAAUAUGCAGAAAUGGCAAAACUUACUGUAUUAGUAAGAGAUAGUCAUACAGAAAACUUUGUAGAAGAUUGGAAACCCUUUUUGCGGUAUAUGAAAAACAAUGUGAAUAUGGAUUUAUUAAAGCGGGUUGAAAUGUAAAAAUAACAGUUGGGAAAUUUGUUAUAGUAAUGAAACUAAUAGAUUACUAUGGUGAUGAAAACAAGGAUUAGGACAUAAUAACUAGAUAUAUAAAUACGAAGAAAAUAUUCACAUGAGAGCAAAUAUGGAUGUUGUAGUAUAACUGUGUUGAAAGAUGAACUGGAAGUCACAUUGAUAUGUAGAAAACUAA